GCAGUGGUGGUUCAGUGGUAGAAUCUUGCCUUCCAUGUGCAAGACCCAGGUUCGAUUCCUGGUCAAUGCA
rnacentral:tRNA from 1 species